rnacentral:rRNA from 1 species
UGAAGAGGGAAACAACCCAGACCGCCAGCUAAGGUCCCAAAGUCAUGGUUAAGUGGGAAACGAUGUGGGAAGGCCCAGACAGCCAGGAUGUUGGCUUAGAAGCAGCCAUCAUUUAAAGAAAGCGUAAUAGCUCACUGGUCGAGUCGGCCUGCGCGGAAGAUGUAACGGGGCUAAACCAUGCACCGAAGCUGCGGCAGCGACACUAUGUGUUGUUGGGUAGGGGAGCGUUCUGUAAGCCUGUGAAGGUGGCCUGUGAGGGUUGCUGGAGGUAUCAGAAGUGCGAAUGCUGACAUAAGUAACGAUAAAGCGGGUGAAAAGCCCGCUCGCCGGAAGACCAAGGGUUCCUGUCCAACGUUAAUCGGGGCAGGGUGAGUCGACCCCUAAGGCGAGGCCGAAAGGCGUAGUCGAUGGGAAACAGGUUAAUAUUCCUGUACUUGGUGUUACUGCGAAGGGGGGACGGAGAAGGCUAUGUUGGCCGGGCGACGGUUGUCCCGGUUUAAGCGUGUAGGCUGGUUUUCCAGGCAAAUCCGGAAAACCAAGGCUGAGGCGUGAUGACGAGGCACUACGGUGCUGAAGCGACAAAUGCCCUGCUUCCAGGAAAAGCCUCUAAGCAUCAGGUAACAUCAAAUCGUACCCCAAACCGACACAGGUGGUCAGGUAGAGAAUACCAAGGCGCUUGAGAGAACUCGGGUGAAGGAACUAGGCAAAAUGGUGCCGUAACUUCGGGAGAAGGCACGCUGAUAUGUAGGUGAAGCGACUUGCUCGUGGAGCUGAAAUCAGUCGAAGAUACCAGCUGGCUGCAACUGUUUAUUAAAAACACAGCACUGUGCAAACACGAAAGUGGACGUAUACGGUGUGACGCCUGCCCGGUGCCGGAAGGUUAAUUGAUGGGGUUAGCGGUAACGCGAAGCUCUUGAUCGAAGCCCCGGUAAACGGCGGCCGUAACUAUAACGGUCCUAAGGUAGCGAAAUUCCUUGUCGGGUAAGUUCCGACCUGCACGAAUGGCGUAAUGAUGGCCAGGCUGUCUCCACCCGAGACUCAGUGAAAUUGAACUCGCUGUGAAGAUGCAGUGUACCCGCGGCAAGACGGAAAGACCCCGUGAACCUUUACUAUAGCUUGACACUGAACAUUGAGCCUUGAUGUGUAGGAUAGGUGGGAGGCUUUGAAGUGUGGACGCCAGUCUGCAUGGAGCCGACCUUGAAAUACCACCCUUUAAUGUUUGAUGUUCUAACGUUGGCCCGUAAUCCGGGUUGCGGACAGUGUCUGGUGGGUAGUUUGACUGGGGCGGUCUCCUCCUAAAGAGUAACGGAGGAGCACGAAGGUUGGCUAAUCCUGGUCGGACAUCAGGAGGUUAGUGCAAUGGCAUAAGCCAGCUUGACUGCGAGCGUGACGGCGCGAGCAGGUGCGAAAGCAGGUCAUAGUGAUCCGGUGGUUCUGAAUGGAAGGGCCAUCGCUCAACGGAUAAAAGGUACUCCGGGGAUAACAGGCUGAUACCGCCCAAGAGUUCAUAUCGACGGCGGUGUUUGGCACCUCGAUGUCGGCUCAUCACAUCCUGGGGCUGAAGUAGGUCCCAAGGGUAUGGCUGUUCGCCAUUUAAAGUGGUACGCGAGCUGGGUUUAGAACGUCGUGAGACAGUUCGGUCCCUAUCUGCCGUGGGCGCUGGAGAACUGAGGGGGGCUGCUCCUAGUACGAGAGGACCGGAGUGGACGCAUCACUGGUGUUCGGGUUGUCAUGCCAAUGGCACUGCCCGGUAGCUAAAUGCGGAAGAGAUAAGUGCUGAAAGCAUCUAAGCACGAAACUUGCCCCGAGAUGAGUUCUCCCUGACUCCUUGAGA